rnacentral:rRNA from 1 species
GAUGAACGCUGGCGGCGUGCCUAAUACAUGCAAGUCGAGCGAACAGACGAGGAGCUUGCUCCUCUGACGUUAGCGGCGGACGGGUGAGUAACACGUGGAUAACCUACCUAUAAGACUGGGAUAACUUCGGGAAACCGGAGCUAAUACCGGAUAAUAUAUUGAACCGCAUGGUUCAAUAGUGAAAGACGGUUUUGCUGUCACUUAUAGAUGGAUCCGCGCCGCAUUAGCUAGUUGGUAAGGUAACGGCUUAACAAGGCAACGAUGCGUAGCCGACCUGAGAGGGUGAUCGGCCACACUGGAACUGAGACACGGUACAGACUCCUACGGGAGGCAGCAGUAGGGAAUCUUCCGCAAUGGGCGAAAGCCUGACGGAGCAACGCCGCGUGAGUGAUGAAGGUCUUCGGAUCGUAAAACUCUGUUAUUAGGGAAGAACAAAUGUGUAAGUAACUAUGCACGUCUUGACGGUACCUAAUCAGAAAGCCACGGCUAACUACGUG